rnacentral:rRNA from 1 species
UACGUAGGGUGCAAGCGUUGUUCGGAAUUACUGGGCGUAAAGCGCGCGUAGGCGGACCUGCAAGUCGGGGGUGAAAGCCCGAGGCUCAACCUCGGAACUGCCUUCGAUACUGCGGGUCUCGAGUCCGGGAGAGGUGAGUGGAAUUCCUAGUGUAGAAGGUGAAAUUCGUAGAUAUUAGGAAGAACACCAGUGGCGAAGGCGGCUCACUGGCCCGGUACUGACGCUGAGGCGCGAAAGCGUGGGGAGCAAACAGG